CUAUCACGCAUCAUGCAUAGUUAUAACUGAGGAUAAAAGAGAGGACGAUCAGACAAAGAUCCUGCCCACACAGAAUUCUAUUCUAGUUCUGGGAGAUAGAAAAUAAAGAAGUUGGCCAGGCAUGGUGGCUCACGCCCGUAAUCCCAGAACUUUGAGAGGCUGAGGUGGGAGGAUCACAAGGUCAGGAGAUCAAGACCAACCUGGCCAACAUAGUGAAACGCCAUCUCUACUAAAAAUACAAAAAAUUAGCCGGUUGUGGUGGCGUGUGCCUGUAAUCCCAGCUACUCAGGAGGCUUAGGCAGGAGAAUGGUGUGAACCCAGGAGGCAGAGCUUGCAGUGAGCCAAAAUUGCACCACUGCCCUCCAGCCUGGGCGACAGCAAGUUUUGUUCCGUCUCAAAACAAAAACAAAAACAAAAAUAAAACAAAACAAAAAAUAAAAUAAAGAAGUUCACAAAUAACAGUGCAAGUCUGGGUAUGCUACAAAGGAUAAAAAACUGGGUAUUGGCCAGGCACAGUGGCUCAUGCCUAUAAUCCUAGCACUUCGAGUGGCCAAGAAAGGGGGGAUCACCUGAGGUUGGGAGUUCAAGAGCAGCCUGACCAACAUGAAGAAACCUUGUCUCUAAAUUAAUACAAAAUUAGCCCGAUGUGGUCACGCAUGCCUGUAAUCCUAGCUACUGAGGAGGCUGAGGCAGGAUAAUUGCUUGAACCUGGGAGGCAGAGGUUGUGGUGAGCCAAGAUUGCACCAUUGCACUCCAGCCUGGGAAACAAGGGCGAAACUCUGUCUCAAGAAAAACAAACAAAAAACAAAACAAAACAACAACAACAAAAAAAACACAGAGUAUUGAGUUUUGAGUACCUAGUGGUGGGGAGAAACUAUUUUGGUCUCAAAGUUGCAGGAAGGCCUUGGUGAGAAACUAACAGCUGAGAUGAGACUUACAUGAAAAAGAGCCAGACAAGUGAAAAUCUACCAAUUUAACAUAAGAGUGUCCCAGGCAGGACAGCAAGGGCAAACAGCCCUGGGACAGAAAUGAACCAGAUGUGCUCAAGAAACAGCAAGAAAACCAUUGGUUGGAUUUUCCGGUUAAAGUUCAGAAAACAAGGGAGAGAGUCGGUGGGGAGAUGAAGAUGAAGAGAAAGCCAGAAAACACAUCACUUGGGCAGUGAAGGACUUGGUAAGGAGUUUUAUGUUCACUCUGAAUGUAAACCUUCUGCCUGGAUUGGCACUUUCAUCCAUAUGGUCAACCUACUUCAUGCUCCGACCUCAAUUAUGAUCUGUGCAUACUUCUUGCAAAUCUUCUCUAGGAGUUUGGCUCUGCUGUCCAUGCCCCUGGUCAAGGCUUGCAGAGUUGCCUAAACAUGAGAGCUCUCCCAGCUCUCAGCAUAGCUGGAACGAACUCCAGCAUUCUGGUUCAUUCUGCAAAUCCCUGCUCAUGUUAUAAAUCCCUUCCGAACCAUGUUCAGUUAUGCUUUGCCUUGACAUCUUAGGCAUUUUGGAACUAGGUAAGUAUAGCCUAAACCCAUACUAAGCAGGAUUCUACUUGGUACCGUCUCUUUUCUCCUCCUCUUUGGCCUGCUGCCUAACCCUAGCAUGCCUUAUCCUGACCACGCUCUUAUUAAGGCUUAAUCAUACAUCACAGUGGCCCCA
ensembl:lncRNA